UACGUAGGGGGCAAGCGUUGUCCGGAAUCAUUGGGCGUAAAGAGCGUGUAGGCGGCCCGAUAAGUCCGCCGUGAAAGUCCAGGGCUCAACCCUGGAAUGCCGGUGGAAACUGUCGGGCUGGAGUCCGGAAGAGGCGAGUGGAAUUCCUGGUGUAGCGGUGAAAUGCGCAGAUAUUGGGAGGAACACCAGUGGCGAAGGCGGCUCACUGGACCGGUUCUGACGCUGAGGCGCGAAAGCGUGGGGAGCAAACGGG
rnacentral:rRNA from 1 species